AUUGAACGCUGGCGGCAUGCUUUACACAUGCAAGUCGAACGGUAACAGGUUAAGCUGACGAGUGGCGAACGGGUGAGUAAUUCAUCGGAACGUGCCCGGUCGUGGGGGAUAACGCAGCGAAAGCUGCGCUAAUACCGCAUACGAUCUGAGGAUGAAAGCGGGGGACCGUAAGGCCUCGCGCGAUCGGAGCGGCCGAUGUCAGAUUAGGUAGUUGGUGGGGUAAAGGCCCACCAAGCCGACGAUCUGUAGCUGGUCUGAGAGGACGACCAGCCACACUGGGACUGAGACACGGCCCAGACUCCUACGGGAGGCAGCAGUGGGGAAUUUUGGACAAUGGGCGAAAGCCUGAUCCAGCAAUGCCGCGUGCAGGAAGAAGGCCUUCGGGUUGUAAACUGCUUUUGUACGGAGCGAAAAGGUCCUUUCUAAUACAAGGGGCUCAUGACGGUACCGUAAGAAUAAGCACCGGCUAACUACGUGCCAGCCGCCGCCGUAACAC
rnacentral:rRNA from 1 species